CAGUCGAACGAUGACCACUUCGGUGGGGAUUAGUGGCGAACGGGUGAGUAACACGUGGGCAAUCUGCCCUUCACUCUGGGACAAGCCCUGGAUACGGGGUCUAAUACCGGAUAACACUUCCACUCGCAUGGGUGGGGGUUAAAAGCUCCGGCGGUGAAUGAUGAGCCCGCGGCCUAUCAUCUUGUUGGUGAGGUAAUGGCUCACCAAGGCGACGACGGGUAACCAGCCUGAGAGGGCGACCGGCCACACUGGGACUGAGACACGGCCCAAACUCCUACGGAAGGCAGCAGUGGGGAAUAUUGCACAAUGGGCGAAAGCCUGAUGCAGCGACGCCGCGUGAGGGAUGACGGCCUUCGGGUUGUAAACCUCUUUCAGCACGGAAGAAGCGAGAGUGACGGUACCUGCAUAAGAAGCGCCGGCUAACUACGUGCCAGCAGCCGCGGUAAUACGUAGGGCGCAAGCGUUGUCCGGAAUUAUUGGGCG
rnacentral:rRNA from 1 species